rnacentral:rRNA from 1 species
GGAUUCACCUUUUGCCAUUCUCAAAAACAAGUCACCCUGGUAUUUUUUGGUGGAGCUCCGCCCUGUGCGUGCAAUUUCAUCAGUUUGAUGGCAGCCGUUCUAGCAUCUUUGCUUGGAUCAUGUGCCAAUAUAAGUUGAAAGAUAUCAUUAUUGAUGAGGCCAUACUAAUCUUAGGGGUGGAAAAGGAGCUCACUGAAGUGCUGCGAAGAGUAGAACUAAUACGGUGUUGCAUACAUGAUGCUGAGAAAAGGAGGACAAAAGAGCAAGCAGUAAACAAUUGGCUUGGUCAACUGAGAGAUCUUAUAUAUGAUGUUGAUGAAAUCUUGGAUGUGGCUAGAUGUAAAGGAAGCAACCUACUUGCUGAUGACCCUUCACCAUCAUCUGGCAAAUCAGUUGCAUGUAAAGGCCUUUCAGUUUCCUCUUGUUUUUGCAACAUCGGGCCACAUCAUGAUGUUGUUGUUCGGAUUACAAGCCUCAACAAGAAGAUACAGAACAUUUUGCAUGACAACUGAAUUGCAGGUGUUCUUGCUUCAAUAAAGAAAUACUGAGAGGGAGCUCAGUUUCUCUCAAUACAGAACAUGUACAAGCAGGACGACGCGGCGGGCUUGAUCAGCUUAAGCUAUCCAUUCAUUGGCACGGACGAAUGCUAUUUGCUAGUUAAUUAAGCAGUAUGUGUUGACAAUAAGAAGCCAGUGGGCAAAGCAGCUAAUGGGUACCUCGCCAAUCUCUUUCUCACCUUCCCAGCUAAUGGCCAUCCUUCGUCUUCGCGGACUCUGCUAUCUAGCCUGCAGUGUUUACGCAAGCAGGGGGAGGGGCUGUAGCAGCUAUUAAUCAGAUCUGCGCCUAGUUUGCAUCAUCCAUGGCGACCAUACUAGAAGCUCUGCUUCGAUCAUGUGCCAGUAAGUUGCAAGAUAUCGUUACCAAUGAAGCCAUACUAAUCUUAGGGGUGGAAGAAGAGCUCGCAAAACUGCUGCAACGAGUUGAACUAAUUCAGUGCUGUAUAUAUGAUGCUGAGAAAAGGAGGGCAAAAGAGUUGGCAGUAAACAAUUGGCUUGGCCAACUGAGAGAUGUUAUAUAUGAUGUUGAUGAAAUUCUGGACGUGGCUAGAUGCAAAGGAAGCAAGCUACUGCCUAACCACCCUUCAUCAUCAUCAAGCAACUCGGCUGCAUGUAAAGGUCAUUCGGUUUUCCCUUGCUUUCGUAACAUUGGUUCACGUCGUGACGUUGCUGUUCGGAUUAGAACCCUCAACAAAAAGGUAGAGAACAUUUCAAAGGACAAAAUAUUCUUAACAUUCAACAGUAGUGCACAACCUAAUGGAAGUGGUCCAACAUCCAAACUGAUAAGAAGUUCCAACCUUGUUGAGCCCAACCUUGUGGGAAAGGAAAUCAUACAUUCUAGCAGGAAGUUGGUGGACUUGGUGCUUGCAAACAAGGAAAAGAAGUCUUACAAGCUUGCUGUUGUUGGAACCGGAGGAGUCGGUAAGACAACACUAGCUCAGAAAGUAUACAAUGACCAAAAAAUAAAAGGAAGCUUCAAGAUGCAUGCUUGGAUUUGUGUUUCGCAAGACUACAGUGAAGUAACUCUUUUGAAGGAGGUGCUCCGAAAUAUUGGUGUGCAUCAUGAGCAAGGUGAAACCAUAACUGAGCUGCAGAGAAAGCUUGCAGAAACAAUAGAAGGAAAGAGUUUCUUUCUGGUUCUAGAUGAUGUAUGGCAUUCCAAUGUAUGGAUGGAUCUAUUAAGGCCUGCAUUACACAAAACAACAUCUGGAGUAAUGUUGGUAACCACACGAGAUGAUCAAAUUACAAGGAGAAUAGGCGUAGAGCAUACCCAUCGAGUUGAUCUCAUGUCAGUAGAGGUGGGAUGGGAGCUACUUUGGAAGAGCAUGAAUAUUGAUGAGAAAGAAGUGCAGAAUUUAAGAAACACGGGGAUUGAGAUUAUCCGUAAAUGCGGUUGCCUCCCUCUUGCAAUCAAAGUUACUGCCAGUGUUCUGGCAAGCAGGGAUCGAACAGAUAAUGAGUGGAAAAAGAUUUUGAGAAGAUAUGCUUGCUCCCAGAACAUGCUCUCUAAUGAAAUAGAAGGAGCUUUGUAUCUAAGCUACGAUGAGUUACCAUAUCGUCUGAAGCAGUGUUUCCUUUAUUGUGCAUUGUAUAUUGAAGAUUCUACCAUUCUGCGCCGUGUAAUUACCAGGUUAUGGAUUGCUGAAGGCUUCAUUGAGGAGCAACAAGGCCAACUUCUAGAAGACACAGCAGAGGAGUACUACUAUGAGCUAAUCCAUCGGAAUCUCCUCCAACCAGAUAACGGAUCUUUUAACCAGGCUGAAUGCAAAAUGCAUGACCUCUUAAGACAGCUUGCUUUGAGUAUAUCAAAAGAAGAGUGUUUUAUUGGUGAUAUUGAAACAUUAAGUGGUGAGAAUAUGUCAAAACUACGACGAGUUACUGCCGUGAGUAAGAAGGAAGAAUUAGUGUUGCCUAGCAUGAAUAAGGUGGAAGCUAAGGUGAGGACUUUCUUUACUGUUCAUGGUCCACGGAGCAUUGAGUAUUCAUUGUUCAAGAGAUUUUUGCUUCUUCGUGUUUUGGUACUGAAUUACUCACUUGUACAAAGCAUUCCAGAUUAUAUAGGAAGACUGAUACAUCUACGCCUACUUGAUCUUGAUUAUACUGGCAUAUCUUGUCUUCCGGAAUCCAUUGGCUCCCUACAAAACCUUCAAAUUUUGAGCUUGAAUUAUUGUGAUGCUUUGCACAAUCUUCCUUCGGCGAUAUCCCAAUUGUACAGUUUAAGAUGCCUUAGUCUUCUUGAUACAAAAAUAAAUCAAGUUCAGAAAGGGAUAGGAAAACUGAAGUUCCUCACUGAUUUACGAGGGUUUCCGGUUGGGGCGGGAAUUGAAAAUGCUGAUGUACAAGAUGGAUGGAAGUUGGAAGAGUUGUCAUCUUUGUCAUUGCUGAGGUAUCUUACGUUGGUUAAAUUGGAAAGAGCGGCUUGCUAUAGUACAAAUACAUUACUGACGAACAAAAACCAUCUAAAAGGACUAGUACUGGACUGGACAUCAUAUUCAGAAGAUGUUAGCACCGAGGAGGUCUUUGAGCAGCUAAUACCUCCAAGCAACCUGGAAACCCUACAUAUUAUUGGAUUCCUUGGUCGGCAAUACCCCAACUGGUUUGGUAACACUUGUUUGUCUUCGCUGGCACAUGUGACCCUUAGAAAUCUACGAUGUGUGGAUCUUCCACCUAUUGGCCAGCUACCCAACUUGAAAUUUCUAAGAAUUGAUGGAGCAUAUGCAGUUACCAAGGUUGGCCCUGAAUUUGUUGGUUGCGGGAAGGGUGAUCCCCUAUGCAACGAAUUAGUCGCUUUUCCUAAACUUGAAUGGUUAGUCCUCAAGCAUUUGCCCAACUGGGAGGAGUGGUCUUUUUUUGAAGAAAAAGAAGAAGCAGAAGAUGCUGAUGAUGAAGGGGGAGCAAAUGGAGUUGCUGAGAUUCAAAAGGAGGACGCCCAAUCUGCAAGGUCGCGUCUGUUUCCUCGUUUGGUGAGGUUGAAACUUGAAGGCUGCUUAAAGCUGAGGGCUCUACCGCGACAACUUGGAGAGGACACUGUCAGCUUGAGGAAGCUCGAAUUAAUUAGAACAAACAACUUGAAGGCCGUGGAGGACUUCCCACACCUCACUGAGCUCCUUCAUAUUGAGAAAUGUGAAGGCCUGGAGAAGGUCUCCAAUCUCCCUCAAGUGACAGACCUGCAAGUACGUGGUUGUCUGAACUUAAGCCGUGUAGAGGGGCUGGGCAGUUUGCAGCAGCUGGGGCUGGGCGAGGAUACGCAAGAGAUCUCUUCCCACUGGGUGCUUGGGCUUCAAAACCAGCACCAGCGACUUUAUGGCGAAGACCUGGAUGUCUACUCGUUGUCUACCAGUUAGAUGGCUCAAGCGUAGGACUGAUGGUGUGGCUCACUUCCACGGGCAGACGUGCUAAUUAAGUUGAGGAAGCCUGCCAUUGCUGAAGAUGCGCGAGUACCAUGAUGGAUGUGCAACGAGCUGGUGAAGAAAGAAACUGUCCUGUUUUCCUUUGGGCAUACUGUAUCGAGUUUUGUUUUGUUUAUUUCCAAAUUUGGGCCAGAGGCCUUUGCUGUACUGAAUCUCCUGCCCGUGUGGUAUUGUUUCACUUAUUUAUUCCUGAACUUGGGGCUGGUGGCCUUUGCUGUACUGAACAAGUGUGGCAUGGUAUCGUUCUUUUAAUUGAACCGAUGGAUUUCGUUUAAG